rnacentral:rRNA from 1 species
AUGAGGACAUGGAACUAUGAGAAUGUUGAAAGCUCAUCACAAAAGAACAAGAAGAGCUACUUGACAACACCAUUUAUUGGCAAGAGGCUUUUUACAGACGAGUUCAUUGAAGAAGAUGACCAAGAUGGGACCGAAGAUCAACCAAUCAAUGUCAACAAUGUGUUUCAAGUACCUCCGGACGUUCAAAUUCUGGGGGAGAGAGUAUUCAAUGGUUCAUGCUCUAAUAUGGUAAACACAGUAGACAAUCUGUACAAACAUCAAGCUUACAUUAGGCAGUUACUCAAGUGGCAAGGAAAAUCUGCCUCCCAAAAGGCUAGUACGCCCAAGCAAGUAUCAAUGCUCACCUUUCGAGCACGAUAUGAGAGGUGCUCUCAUGCCACUUGA